GCAGGCUGCAACUCGCCUGCAUGAAGUUGGAAUUGCUAGUAAUCGCGAAUCAGAAUGUCGCGGUGAAUACGUUCCCGGGCCCUUGUACACACCGCCCGUCACACCAUGAGAGCCGAUAACACCCGAAGCCUGUGAGCUAACCGUAAGGGGGCAGCAGUCGAAGGUGGGGUUGGUGAUUGGGGUGAAGUCGUAACAAGGUAAC
rnacentral:rRNA from 1 species